rnacentral:lncRNA from 1 species
GAGAAGGAUUACCCAUAGGUGGAAAUGGAGCAACAGUUACAGUUAGGAGCAAUUCUGGGUCGUUUGUCAGCAUGACCUUGAUUGAUAUGCUUCCUCUUCUAUUGGUGUUGUGCUCUAACAUUAUGGAUGUGCCAAUAAUGGGCAGUAAGGUGUUAGGCCUCAUCAUGGCUACUCAAUUGAUGAUAUCAGCCCUUAAACCCUUAAGAAACUUCGAGGCCUUUCUAUUUUUUGUAAUGAUGGAUUCUGAGGCAAAUCGGAACAACUAAAUGAAUUUGGCAGCAUAUUUGCUCACCGUCAUUCUUCUCUAUCCCAAGUCCUAGAAUUUUUUUCCUUCUUCUCACAAAUAUAUACCAAGAAAAAACUCUUCAGGAAAGCAUCGAUCAACUGGUCUCAAGUUAUCAAAGUAGGUAGGGUGAUGUGAUCUGAGACAACCCAAAAUUAGUUCCAAACAUGUAAUUCCGCAUCAAGGAGGAACUUAAUAGAAGCCUAGAUUCCUACAGAAUAAUUACCCAUGAAUCCACUGUAAAAUAUAGUCUUGCGCCUGUAGCACCACAAAUGUGCACACGCAAGUGCAGACGAGAUCAAAUCAAACAGGAAAGUAAGUCCCAGUUUCAUAAAUAGGAAUGCCCUGAAUAGGAAAGUAAAAUUAUCCCUAAAUACUUUCUUUAUUAGAAUUAUUCUAAGGAAUGGGCUAAGUUUUUUCAAGUAAGAAGGCUUAAGGCCCAAUAGGUGACCCAUGGA